rnacentral:lncRNA from 1 species
UCGAUUUCACUCCAAAACGAAUCAAUCAUGUCUUGGAACAUCAUAUAAGACUUACACAAUUUAAAUGAGCUAAUUUGUGGAGUAUUUUAUCUCAUAAUCGAAAUUUAAAUUAUUUAGCCUUUUAAAGACAUCAUGUUAUUUUGGAUGAUGGGGCCUUGAUAUCACUAUAAAACAAGUCGAUCAGACUUGGAAUAUCUUAAAAAACAUGUACAAGUUAAACGAGGUAAUUUAUUAAAUAUCUUAUCUCAUAAUUAGAAUAUAAUCGAAAUUAACUUACUUACG